GUAGGUGGCAAGCGUUGUCCGGAAUUAUUGGGCGUAAAGCGCGCGCAGGCGGGUCCUUUAAGUCUGAUGUGAAAGCCCACGGGCUCAACCGUGGAGGGUCAUUGGAAACUGGGGGGCUUGAGUACAGAAGAGGAAAGCGGAAUUCCAAGUGUAGCGGUGAAAUGCGUAGAGAUUUGGAGGAACACCAGUGGCGAAGGCGGCUUUCUGGUCUGUAACUGACGCUGAGGCGCGAAAGCGUGGGGAGCAAACAGGAUUAGAUACCCUGGUAGUCCACGCCGUAAACGAUGAGUGCUAAGUGUUAGGGGGUUUCCGCCCCUUAGUGCUGCAGCUAACGCAUUAAGCACUCCGCCUGGGGAGUACGGCCGCAAAGGCUG
rnacentral:rRNA from 1 species